rnacentral:lncRNA from 1 species
GAAUGGUUGAGUCUUUUAGAGUGAUCUCCUUCAUCCCUUCUAUAAGAAGAUCUGCAUCAUCAAUACCUUUAUUCUUUCUUGAAGAAAGAUCGUUAGUUUCAUCAAAAACCAUAUGUAUUGACUCCUCUACUACUAAAGUUCUUUUGUUGAAAACUCUAAAAGCUUUGCUAGAAGAGGAGUAACCAAGAAAAAUCACUUCAUUGGAUUUUGCAUCAAAUUUUUCUAGUCUUUCUUUACCAUUGUU